rnacentral:tRNA from 1 species
GGUGCUGUGGCUCAGUUGGUUGAAGUGCCUGCCUAGUAAACAGGAGAUCCUGGGUCCAAAUCCCAGCAGUACCU